rnacentral:ncRNA from 1 species
UCGGUAUGCGUUUUAAUUUUUGACCCUAUUUGUUGUGAUACCAUACAUUUUUGUUUGUUUUUAUGUUAUUUUUCGUAAAAUAUUUUAGUUUUUUUUAUUUUUUUGUGGUAUCAAAAAUCUGUUUUUUGAGCUGGAUUAGUACCCAGAUAAUUAAAAUUUAUUAAUUCGGGAAUAAAGUUCUGUUUAAACCGAAAAAAUAUUGACCGACUUUAGAUUUCUCUUUGGAAUGUGUGUUCUGCUGGAGAGUCCUCUUUUUCAGUAAAUUUUAUCGGCACAUGUAUGAUUGUUAGUUUUUAUUUUAUUUUGCAAUGCUUUUUUCGUUUUGGCUUUUAAAACAGAUAUAAAUUUGGCUUACAAAUUUAUGUUUCAUGUGUUACUAUUAUGAAUUUUUUUUGGAUUAUUUAUUUAUUUAUUUUUUUUGAAAUUGGAAAAGAAAGUAAUUUUUUCUUGAUAUUUUAAUGAAUUUAAUGAAUAAAGUGGUACAAACCAUCCGUCAAUGGCCUAAAGGGGCGUAAGUUG